rnacentral:sRNA from 1 species
UCAUAGCCCUGAUUGCAGUGGAAAUCCCACAGCAGGUGAUGGCCAAAGCAAGGCGCGAGGAAUUGCAACGGAAAGCAGGUUCCCGG